UACAGAGGGGGCAAGCGUUAUUCGGAAUUAUUGGGCGUAAAGGGCGCGUAGGCGGCCUGGCAAGUGGAAGGUGAAAUCCCUCGGCUUAACCGAGGAACUGCCUUCCAAACUGCUUGGCUUGAGUCCGGGAGAGGUGAGUGGAAUUCUCGGUGUAGAGGUGAAAUUCGUAGAUAUCGAGAGGAACACCGGUGGCGAAGGCGGCCAACUGGACGAGUACUGACGCUGAGACACGAAAGCGUGGGGAGCAAACAGG
rnacentral:rRNA from 1 species